rnacentral:lncRNA from 1 species
AUGAGAUCGGAGACUCUGUCUCAUCUCAGUGUUGCCUCCUUCCAGCACCUCCAGAAGCAGUAUCUCGGUCUUGGAGUCCUUUGUCCUGGGUAUGUGAAGAGGGAAGGGAAUGUAAAAGAGGCCCCCAAAUUUGAUUCAAGGGAGACUGCCCUGAAAGAAGAGGAAAGAGGAACUCUAUCCCCAAAGAUGCCACAAUUCUUGGCUUUGGAAGAUGUGGAGUUGGGAGAGUCAGAUGAGAGGGAGGAUAUUUCUGAAGAUGAACAAGCAAGAAGGCAUGUUACUCUGGCUUUUGUUGAGAAAGAUGCCAUGGUAUCCUUGAAGAAAGAUAUUGGGGUAUCCUUGAAGAACUGUUCUCAGCGUCAUUAUAAGAAGAAGAAGAAAAAAAGGUUAGAAAUGGAGGUUGGAAAGUGGGAGAGGGGAGGGUACACCGAGGAGACAAGAGCCUUAGGAACACAGAGAACUAGGGAGGCCCUGUGA